CUACGGGCUGCUGCAGUGGGGAAUAUUGCAUAAUGGGCGCAAGCCUGAUGCAGCCAUGCCGCGUGUAUGAAGAAGGCCUUCGGGUUGUAAAGUACUUUCAGCGGGGAGGAAGGGAGUAAAGUUAAUACCUUUGCACAUUGACGUUACCCGCAGAAGAAGCACCGGCUAACUCCGUGCCAGCAGCCGCGGUAAUACGGAGGGUGCAAGCGUUAAUCGGAAUUACUGGGCGUAAAGCGCACGCAGGCGGUUUGUUAAGUCAGAUGUGAAAUCCCCGGGCUCAACCUGGGAACUGCAUCUGAUACUGGCAAGCUUGAGUCUCGUAGAGGGGGGUAGAAUUCCAGGUGUAGCGGUGAAAUGCGUAGAGAUCUGGAGGAAUACCGGUGGCGAAGGCGGCCCCCUGGACGAAGACUGACGCUCAGGUGCGAAAGCGUGGGGAGCAAACAGGAUUAGAUACCCCCGUAGUC
rnacentral:rRNA from 1 species